ACACCAACACAGAAAAAUAUUCAUAUUACUAGAACACAUUGAUAUUGAAGGAACUAGAUACUGUUCCGAAAUAUCACUUACUCGAACCGUCCUGACCGCGUAGCUCAGUUGAAAGAGCAUUGGGCUAGUAUUCCAAAGGUCGUAGGUUCGAAUCCCACCGUGGCCGGGCAUAUUUUUCAAGCUCGCCCGGUGUGGAUAUGCACUCAGAGUAACAUCACAAACAUAUUAUUCACCUGAGUACACAACACCAGCACAGAAAAAAAUAUUCAUAUUACAAGAACACCUUGGUAUUGAAGGAACUAGAUACUGUUCCGAAAUAUCACUUACUCGAACCGUCCUGACCGCGUAGCUCAGUUGGAAGAGCAUUGGGCUAGUAUCCAAAGGUCGUAGGUUCGAAUCCCACCGUGGCCGGGCAUAUUUUUCAAGCUCGCCCGGUGUGGAUAUGCACUCAGAGUAACAUCGCAAAACAUAUUAUUCACCUGAGUACACAACACCAACACAGAAAAAUAUUCAUUCUAC
rnacentral:tRNA from 1 species